UCAUUUGCUCACCCACAUUGGAGAACUUCAAGCAAUGGACUUGGACUUUGGUGCUUCCAAGUAACUAGCUCAAGUCUCCAUUAUCCAAGAGCUUCCGUGGGCCUUGUGGACCUCCGUAACUUUCCACACCACAAUCCCUCGUGCAAGCCCCAUAAACUACAUGACUUGGGUUCAUGUGAGCUUGGUAAGUGAUUGACAUUUGAAAAAUGUAUUAUUGGC
rnacentral:lncRNA from 1 species